GAUAAACGCUGGCGGCGUGCCUAACACAUGCAAGUCGAACGAUCCCGCAAGGGAGAGUGGCGGAAGGGUGAGUAACACGUGGGAAUCUACCUCCUCGCAGGGAACAACCUCUCGAAAGAGAGGCUAAUACCCAAAAGGGUCAGAAAUGAUCAGAGUCGAAAGGCGUGAGGAGAGGAGCCCGCGGCCCAUCAGCUAGUUGGUGAGGUAAUGGCUUACCAAGGCUACGACGGGUAGGGGAUCUGAGAGGAUGUCCCCCACACUGGAACUGAAACACGGUCCAGACGCCUACGGGGUGGCAGCAGUGAGGAAUAUUGGACAAUGGGCGAAAGCCCGAUCCAGCAACGCCGCGUGGAGGAUGAAGGCCUUCGGGUCGUAAACUUCUUUAGAGGGAGACGAGAAAGGACGGUAUCCCUAGAAUAAGCGACGGCAAACUACGUGCCAGCAG
rnacentral:rRNA from 1 species